GGCUGUGGCUCAGUGGUAGAGCACCCACCUCACAUGUGUGAGGCAUUGGGUUCGAUCCUCAGCACCA
rnacentral:tRNA from 1 species